UGGGGGAUAUUGCACAAUGGGCGCAAGCCUGAUGCAGCGACGCCGCGUGUGGGAAGACGGUCUUCGGAUUGUAAACCACUGGCUUUGGGGACGAUAAUGACGGUACCCAAGGAGGAAGCUCCGGCUAACUACGUGCCAGCAGCCGCGGUAAUACGUAGGGAGCGAGCGUUGUCCGGAAUUACUGGGUGUAAAGGGAGCGUAGGCGGGAAUGCAAGUUGAAUGUGAAAUCUAUCGGCUCAACUGAUAGCUGCGUUCAAAACUGCAUUUCUUGAGUGAAGUAGAGGUUGGCGGAAUUCCUAGUGUAGCGGUGAAAUGCGUAGAUAUUAGGAGGAACACCAGUGGCGAAGGCGGCCAACUGGGCUUUUACUGACGCUGAGGCUCGAAAGCGUGGGGAGCAAACAGG
rnacentral:rRNA from 1 species